GGCACUCUGUGAGGUGUUGGACGUAGAAGCUAGGGAGGUUAGUAGAAACCUGGUUUGCAAGAAGAGUAGUAGUUUUCUGGUGUAUAUAGGGAAAAGGGAAGACAGAAGUAAUUCCAACUCCGAGAUGUGUUGGUUGACAAUUGACAUUAGCCAUUCCCUGACAGACGUAUUUUGAAGGAGGUUAUGCGAGUUGGCUCUUGAGA
rnacentral:misc_RNA from 1 species